rnacentral:rRNA from 1 species
UACGUAGGUGGCAAGCGUUGUUCGGAAUUAUUGGGCGUAAAGGGCGCGUAGGCGGUUUGUUAAGUCGGCUGUGAAAGCCCGGGCUCAACCCGGCAGGUCAGGCCGAUAACUGGCAGACUAGAGUACGGAAGAGGUAGCUGGAAUUCCGGUGUAGCGGUGAAUGACGUAGAUAUCGGAGGAACACCUGAGGCGAAGGCGGCUGACUGGCCGAGUACUGACGCUGAUGCGCGAAGCCAGGAGCGAACGGG